rnacentral:ncRNA from 1 species
AAUGGAUUAGCGGCGGACGGGUGAGUAACACGUGAGUAACCUGCCUUAGACAUUGGGAUAGCCUCGGGAAACCGGGAUUAAUACCAAAUGAAAUCACAUAUGCACAUGCAUAAAUGAUCAAAGCUCCGGCGGUCUAAGAUGGACUCGCGUCCCAUUAGCUAGUUGGUGAGGUAACGGCCCACCAAGGCGACGAUGGGUAGCCGGCCUGAGAGGGUGAACGGCCACAUUGGAACUGAGAAACGGUCCAAACUCCUACGGGAGGCAGCAGUGGGGAAUAUUGCACAAUGGAGGGAACUCUGAUGCAGCGACGCCGCGUGAACGAAGAAGGCUUUCGAGUCGUAAAGUUCUUUUAUAUGGGAAGAUAAUGACGGUACCAUAAGAAAAAGCCCCGGCUAACUACGUGCCAGCAGCCGCGGUAAUACGUAGGGGGCUAGCGUUGUCCGGAAUCACUGGGCGUAAAGGGUUCGCAGGCGGAAAUGCAAGUCAGGUGUAAAAGGCAGUAGCUUAACUACUGUAAGCAUUUGAAACUGCAUAUCUUGAGAAGAGUAGAGGUAAGUGGAAUUUUUAGUGUAGCGGUGAAAUGCGUAGAUAUUAAAAAGAAUACCGGUGGCGAAGGCGACUUACUGGGCUCAUUCUGACGCUGAGGAACGAAAGCGUGGGUAGCAAACAGGAUUAGAUACCCUGGUAGUCCACGCUGUAAACGAUGAGUGCUAGGUAUCGGAAUAAUUCGGUGCCGCAGUUAACACAUUAAGCACUCCGCCUGGGGAGUACGUGCGCAAGCAUGAAACUCAAAGGAAUUGACGGGGACCCGCACAAGCAGCGGAGCAUGUGGUUUAAUUCGAAGCAACGCGAAGAACCUUACCAGGGCUUGACAUACUGAGGACCGGUAUAGAGAUAUACCCUCUUCUUCGGAAGCCUCAAUACAGGUGGUGCAUGGUUGUCGUCAGCUCGUGUCGUGAGAUGUUCAGUUAAGUCUGGCAACGAGCGCAACCCCUAUCUUUAGUUACCAGCAUUUCGGAUGGGGACUCUAAAGAGACUGCCGAUGAUAAAUCGGAGGAAGGUGGGGAUGACGUCAAAUCAUCAUGCCCUAUAUGCCCUGGGCUACACACGUGCUACAAUGGAAGAUACAAAGGGAAGCGAAAUAGUGAUAUUAAGCAAACCUCAAAAAG